rnacentral:tRNA from 1 species
GGGUGUAGCUCAGUGUAGAGCGCAUGCUUAGCAUGCAGGAGUUCCUGGGUUCAAUCCCCAGUGCCUCCA